ACAAAAGAACAGACUGACACCAGAGGGUUGGUUUUGUUACCUAAGAAUUUUUUUCUGUUAUGUUUUACUCUUUAAUAUUAUUACAUUUCUAAAUUAUGUAUUUUACUUAACUCAGAAAUCCAUUAUUUUUUCCUUCAUAUCAUGAAUAUUUUAAAAAUAUACCUUAUAAAUUUGCAUCACUUUUUCUCUUGUGGUUUUUGAAGUUAAUAUAUUCUAAACUUGAAGAUAUGGUAUAAAUCAAUAAUAGAAGUAUCACUGGAGUUUAAUUUUGUAUUUUUUAUAUUUAGGUCUAGGUAUUGGGAGUGUGUAAGCCUUGAAAUUUUAAAUUUUUUUCUUAAAUUAGUGCUAUACACGAAUGUUCUCAUUUUCAUAAGGUGAUCAUGUGCUUACUGUUUUUAAAUUUACAUUUUCUGAGGUGGUGAAUAUUUAGGUUCUAAUCAGUGAGCAAGAUAGGGCAUAUAAAAUACACAGGGAGGCUACAGAACUCACAGUAUGAAAUGAUCACAUUUGGGAACUGUAAAGUGUAUGAGAUUUAUAUGUAAUUCACAUUCUAAACGUCGCCAGAAAGGUUGGAUUGGAAGCUUCAUGUCUGCAUGAAAUUUCCUAUAUUUUUAAUGUGUAUAUGGACUUAAUUUUCCUUUAAAUAUUAAAGUCUACCAAUUGCUAUAACA
rnacentral:lncRNA from 1 species